GACGUAGGGUGCAAGCGUUGUCCGGAUUUAUUGGGCGUAAAGAGCUCGUAGGCGGCUUGUUGCGUCGACUGUGAAAACCCGCGGCUUAACCGCGGGCUUGCAGUUGAUACGGGCAGGCUAGAGUUCGGUAGGGGAGACUGGAAUUCCUGGUGUAGCGGUGAAAUGCGUAGAUAUCGAGAGGAACACCGGUGGCGAAGGCGGCAUUCUGGACCGAUAUUGACGCUGAGGAGCGAAAGCCAGGGGAGCAAACGGG
rnacentral:rRNA from 1 species